rnacentral:lncRNA from 1 species
GCUCGGUUACAUCUCUUUUUAUAGAGAGAAAGGAAGAGAGGAAGCCCUAACACAUGAGCCAAGACUGAGAGUGACAUAAAGAGAGCGUUUUUGUCUUGUUAAGAGCUGAAAGUGACAGCUCAUAAACGGUCACAUGUGACUAAAGUCACAUGUGAGAGCAGACUUGAAUUUGAAUUCGUUUCCCUCCUCUUCUUGUCACUUAUGGGCCUUAUUCCUUGCAUUCUUUAGGCUUUCUUGGCGUCC